GAGGGAGAGGGAGGGAGUUACAUAGAUGGAGAUGAAGGUAUAUAGAUUCACAGGUCCCUUUUUGGUAUGUGUAUUGUUUGAACUGAAGAUAGAUAGGUAGUGAGAGAGAAAGAGAGAGGGAGAGGGAGGGAGUUACAUAGAUGGAGAUGAAGGUAUAUAGAUUCACAGGUCCCUUUUUGGUAUGUGUAUUGUUUGAACUGAAGAUAGAUAGGUAGUGAGAGAGAAAGAGAGAGGGAGAGGGAGGGAGUUACAUAGAUGGAGAUGAAGGUAUAUAGAUUCACAGGUCCCUUUUUGGUAUGUGUAUUGUUUGAACUGAAGAUAGAUAGGUAGUGAGAGAGAAAGAGAGAGGGAGAGGGAGGGAGUUACAUAGAUGGAGAUGAAGGUAUAUAGAUUCACAGGUCCCUUUUUGGUAUGUGUAUUGUGUGAACUAAAGAUAGAUAGAUAGAGAGAGAGAUAGAUAAUGAGAGAGAAAGAGAGAGAGGGAGAAGUAGUGAAUGGAUAAACGUAAGAGAGGAGGAGGAGGAGGAGGAGGAGGAGGAGGAGGAGGUAGAAGAAAAAGAGAACUAUUGUGAGAGAGACAAAACAGAAAGGUUACUAAGAGAGAGAGAGAGAGAGAGAGAGAGAGAGAGAGAGAGAGAGAGAGAGAGAGAGAGAGAGAGAGAGAGAGAGAGAGAGGUUACGUAUGUGCACUAUCAUUUAUUAUUAACAUCACCACCACCACCAUCACCACCACCACCACCACUACCACCACCACCACCACCACCAUACCUGAUCGAUGCAUUGAGGUCAUUUUAGUGUGUCAGAGGAAGGCAAGAUCGACCUAAUGGAUUAUGGAUUGAUUACCGAGUCACUUUCAACCUUAUGUUUUACCUUCAUUCUCUCUCUCUCUCUCUCUCUCUCUUCUUUUUUUCACUUUCUCACCCUCUUCCUCUCUCCUCGCCAAUCCUCUUCCUCCUCCUUCCUUCCUUCCUUCUCCCCUUCCUCCCUAAACCUCUUCUUUCCCAGACUUAAUUUCCUCCCAAACUUCCCCUUCUUUAUCUCCUUCCCAUUCUCCCUUAUUCCUUCCAUCCCCAACCUUCCUCCUCUUCUUCCCCAUGUGUCCCUUCUCCCC